rnacentral:lncRNA from 1 species
UAAUAUUUGUUCAACCUCCUCUAAAGAAAACAUAGUUUGAGAAGGUCCUCUAGGAUGAGCUGAUGUGCAUGAGAAAGAAGUAGUUAGAGUUCCUGAUUUUGCAAUAUCAGAAAAUCCAAAACCAUAAACCCUCCCUUUACUACUUCCAGAAAUUUCAAUCCACUUAUUCAAAUCAAAAGCAGACUGACUCUCACAAUUGUCAUUCACAUUUUCAGCAAU